CUACGGGAGGCUCCAGUGAGGAAUUUUGCGCAAUGGGGGGAACCCUGACGCAGCAACGCCGCGUGAGUGAUGAAGGCUUUCGGGUCGUAAAGCUCUGUCAAGUGGGAAGAACCUAUGCAGUGUUAAUAUCACUGUAUACUGACGGUACCACUGAAGGAAGCACCGGCUAACUCUGUGCCAGCAGCCGCGGUAAUACGGGGGGUGCAAGCGUUAUUCGGAAUCAUUGGGCGUAAAGGGCACGUAGGCGGCUUGGUAAGUCAGAUGUGAAAGCCCGGGGCUUAACCCCGGAAGUGCAUUUGAUACUGUCAGGCUUGAGUAUGGGAGAGGGAAGUGGAAUUCCUGGUGUAGAGGUGAAAUUCGUAGAUAUCAGGAGGAACACCGGUGGCGAAGGCGACUUCCUGGACCAAUACUGACGCUGAGGUGCGAAGGCGUGGGUAGCAAACAGGAUUAGAUACCCGCGUAGUC
rnacentral:rRNA from 1 species